GACGAACGCUGGCGGCGUGCUUAACACAUGCAAGUCGAACGCUGAAGCUCAGCUUUUGUUGGGUGGAUGAGUGGCGAACGGGUGAGUAACACGUGAGUAACCUGCCUCCUUCUUUGGGAUAACGCCCGGAAACGGGUGCUAAUACUGGAUAUUCACUGGUCUUCGCAUGGGGGUUGGUGGAAAGGGUUUUUCUGGUGGGGGAUGGGCUCGCGGCCUAUCAGCUUGGUGGUGGGGUGAUGGCCUACCAAGGCUUUGACGGGUAGCCGGCCUGAGAGGGUGACCGGUCACAUUGGGACUGAGAUACGGCCCAGACUCCUACGGGAGGCAGCAGUGGGGAAUAUUGCACAAUGGGCGCAAGCCUGAUGCAGCGACGCCGCGUGAGGGAUGGAGGCCUUCGGGUUGUGAACCUCUUUCGCUCAUGGUCAAGCCGCAACAAUGGUUGUGGUGAGGGUAGUGGGUAAAGAAGCGCCGGCUAACUACGUG
rnacentral:rRNA from 1 species